rfam:Brachypodium distachyon strain Bd21 chromosome 2, whole genome shotgun sequence.
CAGGGUACCUUUUGACCCUCCUUAGUUCAAACAAAUGAACUAGUUUUUCAAAAAGUUGUGUGAUUUUAAAAUUUUAUUAGUUCAUUUGGUUGAACUAAGGAGGGUCAAAGGGUACCCUG